rnacentral:tRNA from 1 species
GGGCCGGUCGUCUAGUGGUAGGAUGCUCCCUUGGCAUGGGAGAGGUCGGGGGUUCAAAUCCCCCCCGGUCCACCA